GGAUCAAUUUACUGGUCGUGCUAUUGUACGUACUGGUUUUAUUGGUUCCUCCCUUCUGACGAACCAUGAUGCCAUUAAUUUGGUGUCUUGGGGAAUCAGGACUGUUACUUUGAAAAAAUUAGAGUGUUUAAAGCAGGCUCACGCUUGAAUACAUUAGCAUGGAAUAACGAAAUAGGACGUUUGAUUCUAUUUUGUUGGUUUCUAGGAUCGACGUA
rnacentral:rRNA from 1 species